rnacentral:rRNA from 1 species
UACGGGGGGAGCAAGCGUUGUUCGGAUUUACUGGGCGUAAAGGGCGCGUAGGCGGUCAGCACAAGUCAGUUGUGAAAUCUCCGGGCUUAACCCAGAAAGGUCAACUGAUACUGCGGGGCUAGAGUGCAGAAGGGGCAACUGGAAUUCUCGGUGUAGCGGUGAAAUGCGUAGAUAUCGAGAGGAACACCUGCGGCGAAGGCGGGUUGCUGGGCUGACACUGACGCUGAAGCGCGAAAGCGUGGGGAGCGAACAGG